ACCCAGCUGACGAUUCCCAAAUAGAACGAACUAACGCGCGUCCUGGAU
rfam:Schistosoma rodhaini strain Burundi genome assembly, scaffold: SROB_scaffold0008486